UACGAAGGGGGCUAUCGUUGCUCGGAAUCACUGGGCGUAAAGCGCACGUAGGCGGAUCUUUAAGUCAGAGGUGAAAUCCCAAGGCUCAACCUUGGAACUGCCUUUGAUACUGGGGAUCUCGAGUCCGGAAGAGGUUGGUGGAACUGCGAGUGUAGAGGUGAAAUUCGUAGAUAUUCGCAAGAACACCAGUGGCGAAGGCGGCCAACUGGUCCGGUACUGACGCUGAGGUGCGAAACGUGGGGAC
rnacentral:rRNA from 1 species